GUGGGGAAUUUUGGACAAUGGGCGCAAGCCUGAUCCAGCCAUGCCGCGUGCAGGAUGAAGGCCUUCGGGUUGUAAACUGCUUUUGUACGGAACGAAAAGACUCUGGUUAAUACCUGGGGUCCAUGACGGUACCGUAAGAAUAAGCACCGGCUAACUACGUGCCAGCAGCCGCGGUAAUACGUAGGGUGCGAGCGUUAAUCGGAAUUACUGGGCGUAAAGCGUGCGCAGGCGGUUAUGUAAGACAGAUGUGAAAUCCCCGGGCUCAACCUGGGAACUGCAUUUGUGACUGCAUAGCUAGAGUACGGCAGAGGGGGAUGGAAUUCCGCGUGUAGCAGUGAAAUGCGUAGAUAUGCGGAGGAACACCGAUGGCGAAGGCAAUCCCCUGGGCCUGUACUGACGCUCAUGCACGAAAGCGUGGGGAGCAAACAGGAUUAGAUACCCCUGUAGUCC
rnacentral:rRNA from 1 species